GCGUAAAAAUAUUAAAGAGAGAAGUAAGAAGACCUAUUUGAAGAAUGGUGAAUCCUAGGAACAAUGGAGACCAACCUUCUAACAACAUUGGGAUGGGAAUGGUUUCUGCAACUAUAAUUGAACCCAUUCCUUCGACUGCUAGUGCUACGAUAACACCAUCAACAAUGAUUAUACCAACAACGCUACCUGAAGGGACGUUU
rnacentral:lncRNA from 1 species